rnacentral:rRNA from 1 species
AAUAGAUACCCAGGUAGUCCACGCCGUAAACGAUGAGUGCUAAGUGUUGGGGGUUUCCGCCCCUCAGUGCUGCAGCUAACGCAUUAAGCACUCCGCCUGGGGAGUACGGUCGCAAGACUGAAACUCAAAGGAAUUGACGGGGGCCCGCACAAGCGGUGGAGCAUGUGGUUUAAUUCGAAGCAACGCGAAGAACCUUACCAGGUCUUGACAUCCCGGUGACCACUAUGGAGACAUAGUUUCCCCUUCGGGGGCAACGGUGACAGGUGGUGCAUGGUUGUCGUCAGCUCGUGUCGUGAGAUGUUGGGUUAAGUCCCGCAACGAGCGCAACCCUUAUUCUUAGUUGCCAUCAUUCAGUUGGGCACUCUAAGGAGACUGCCGGUGAUAAACCGGAGGAAGGUGGGGAUGACGUCAAAUCAUCAUGCCCCUUAUGACCUGGGCUACACACGUGCUACAAUGGACGGUACAAACGGUUGCCAACCCGCGAGGGGAGCUAAUCCGAUAAAACCGUUCUCAGUUCGGAUUGUAGGCUGCAACUCGCCUAC